AAGUCUGCUGUUAAAGAGUCUGGGGUCGAAUAAAGCAGUGGAAACUACAGAACUAGAGUGCGUCGGGGGAGAAGGAAUUCCUGGUGUAGCGGUGAAAUGCGUAGAUAUCAGGAAGAACACCGGUGGCGAAAGCGUUCUGCUUGGCCGCAACUGACACUGAGGGACGAAAGCUAGGGGAGCGAAUGGGAUUAGAUACCCCAGUAGUCCUAGCCGUAAACGAUGGAUACUAGGCGUGGCUUGUAUCGACCCGAGCCCGUGCCGGAGCUAACGCGUUAAGUAUCCCGCCUGGGGGAGUACGCACGCAAGUGUGAAACUCAAAGGAAUUGACGGGGGCCCGCACAAGCGGUGGAGUAUGUGGUUUAAUUCGAUGCAACGCGAAGAACCUUACCAAGACUUGACAUCCUGCGAAUCCUGGUGAAAGCUAGGAGUGCCUUCGGGAGCGCAGAGACAGGUGGUGSAUGGCUGUCGUCAGCUCGUGUCGUGAGAUGUUGGGGUUAAGUCCCCSCAMCGAGCGCAACCCUCGUUUUUUAGUUGCCAGCAUUAGGUUGGGCACUCUAGAGAGACUGCCGGUGACAAACCGGAGGAAGGUGAGGAUGACGUCAAGUCAGCAUGCCCCUUACGUCUUGGGCUACACACGUACUACAAUGCUACGGACAAAGGGCAGCUACACAGCGAUGUGAUGCAAAUCUCAUAAACCGUAGCUCAGUUCAGAUCGAAGGCUGCAACUCGCCUUCGUGAAGGAGGAAUCGCUAGUAAUUGCAGGUCAGCGUGCUGCAGUGAAUUCGUUCCCGGGCCUUGUACACACCGCCCUCCACCAUGGAAGUUGGUCACGCCAAAAGUCAUUACCCCAACCGAAAGGAGG
rnacentral:rRNA from 1 species